rnacentral:rRNA from 1 species
UACGGAGGGGGCAAGCGUUAUCCGGAUUUACUGGGUGUAAAGGGAGCGCAGGCGGCGUGGCAAGUCAGAUGUGAAAACCCGGGGCCCAACCCCGGGAGUGCAUUUGAAACUGCCAUGCUGGAGUGCCGGAGGGGCAGGCGGAAUUCCUAGUGUAGCGGUGAAAUGCGUAGAUAUUAGGAGGAACACCGGUGGCGAAGGCGGCCUGCUGGACGACGACUGACGCUGAGGCUCGAAAGCGUGGGGAGCAAACAGG